rnacentral:tRNA from 1 species
GCGGUGGUGGAGGAAUUGGCUAACUCACCAGACCCUCACUCUGGAGAUUGCGGGUUCGAGGCCCGUCCACCGUACCA